rnacentral:rRNA from 1 species
GACGAACGCUGGCGGCGUGCUUAACACAUGCAAGUCGAACGGAAAGGCCCCUUCGGGGGUACUCGAGUGGCGAACGGGUGAGUAACACGUGGGCAACCUGCCCUCAGCUUCGGGAUAACACUUGGAAACAGGUGCUAAUACCGGAUAAUAACUUGUCAUCGCAUGGUGGUGGGGUUCAAAGUUUUUCGGCUGAGGAUGGGCCCGCGGCCUAUCAGCUUGUUGGUGGGGUAAUGGCCUACCAAGGCGACGACGGGUAGCCGGCCUGAGAGGGCGACCGGCCACACUGGGACUGAGACACGGCCCAGACUCCUACGGGAGGCAGCAGUGGGGAAUAUUGCGCAAUGGGCGGAAGCCUGACGCAGCGACGCCGCGUGAGGGAUGACGGCC